rnacentral:rRNA from 1 species
UUAAACGGCUACAGUCGAGUUAUAGAUCUGGAUCCCGUCUGAUCUCCGAGCGAUAAAUACUCCCGCGCUCAAAUAAUAGCUGGUUCGCUGACGGCCAGCGAGUUCCGAGUGUUGUACAGC